GCGGUGAGUUUGAAACUGCUCGCACUUGGCUUCAAAGCUGGCUCUUGGAAAUUGAGCGGAGAGCGACGCGGUUGUUGUAGCUGCCGCUGCGGCCGCCGCGGAAUAAUAAGCCGGGAUCUACCAUACCCAUUGACUAACUAUGGAAGAUUAUACCAAAAUAGAGAAAAUUGGAGAAGAGAAACUCAUAAAAGCUAUAGAAGAGGCCUUCUUCCUAGAACAGUGCACUCUAAUCACUUUUGAAGUUAAACCAAUGCCAUGGAAAGCAAGCUAUUCAAC
rnacentral:lncRNA from 10 species